GCCAACAUAGUUUAAUGGUUUGAGUGUUGACUAUGAAUCUGAAGACCACGGUUUGAAUCCCAUUUUGGCC